UGAGGAAUAUUGGGCAAUGCCCGAAAGGGUGACCCAGCAACGCCGCGUGGAGGAUGAAGGUCGUAAGAUUGUAAACUCCUGUUAGAGGGGAAGAAUAACUAAGUUUGGAGCUUAGUAUGACUGUACCCUCAGAGAAAGCCCCGGCUAACUACGUGCCAGCAGCCGCGGUAAUACGUAGGGGGCAAGCGUUGUCCGGAUUUACUGGGUGUAAAGGGCGCGCAGGCGGAAUGGAAAGUCAGUGGUGAAAUCCUACAGCUUAACUGUAGAACUGCCUUUGAUACUUUCAUUCUUGAGUUCGGGAGGGAGAGACGGAAUUCCAGGUGUAGUGGUGAAAUACGUAGAUAUCUGGAAGAACACCAGUUGCGAAGGCGGUCUCUUAGUCCGAUACUGACGCUGAGGCGCGAAAGCGUGGGGAGCAAAC
rnacentral:rRNA from 1 species